rnacentral:snRNA from 1 species
AGCUUUGUGUGGUAGCAGUAUCAUAGCCAAUGAGGUUUAUCUGAAGCUUGAUUAUGGCCAACUGAAAACUUUUCAUUUGUUUUCCUAAAAAUAUAUAUCCUCAAAAGACCUAGCGUUACUUCUUCAACUUGUUCUUGUUGUUUAAUUAAAAAAUCUGCAAACUAUUCUGACAG